AGUGAACGCUGGCGGUAGGCCUAACACAUGCAAGUCGAACGGCAGCACAGUAAGGGCUUGCUCUUACGGGUGGCGAGUGGCGGACGGGUGAGGAAUACAUCGGAAUCUACUUUUUCGUGGGGGAUAACGUAGGGAAACUUACGCUAAUACUGCAUACGACCUACGGGUGAAAGCAGGGGAUCUUCGGACCUUGCGCGAUUGAAUGAGCCGAUGUCGGAUUAGCUAGUUGGCGGGGUAAAGGCCCACCAAGGCGACGAUCCGUAGCUGGUCUGAGAGGAUGAUCAGCCACACUGGAACUGAGACACGGUCCAGACUCCUACGGGAGGCAGCAGUGGGGAAUAUUGGACAAUGGGCGCAAGCCUGAUCCAGCCAUACCGCGUGGGUGAAGAAGGCCUUCGGGUUGUAAAGCCCUUUUGUUGGGAAAGAAAAGCAGCAGGUUAAUACCCCGCUGUUCUGACGGUACCCAAAGAAUAAGCACCGGCUAACUUCGUG
rnacentral:rRNA from 1 species